GGCGAAGGGCUAAUCUCUGACCCACCAAAGAACUGCAUUGUUUCUCAGAGAGCAGAGACGGCAGAUAAAAAGAAGCGAUCAGAUCCAACGAUGAGGCAGUUAAUUCGUCAGGCAAUGAUUGCCGGCGACAACGGCAGCAAAUCGGAGCCUCACGGCGCCGGAGACGCUUCCGACAAUUAAAGAUUGAAUGAACGUCGUUUGUGAAAGGUGUUGUAAGCAAAUCGCUCUCUCUUU
rnacentral:misc_RNA from 1 species